rnacentral:misc_RNA from 1 species
AGACGUUUCACACUUUCCACAAACUCCUUCCAAGGGACAUCACCAACAGUCCUCCAGUUCUCCUCCCUGUCCUUGUAAAACAAGCAGAAUUCAGAGCCUGGCUGGAACAGCCUUAGCCCAGUUGCAGAAUGUCUUCCAAACAUUUCUUCUAGUUGAAUUGCAAGGCUGGAGUAACCACCAUGAUCUAGUAUGCGAAUUUUCCUUCCAACAACUACCCCAUCCAUGUUUACCUUUACAUAAGCCCAAUUUUCUUUGCUUUGCACCCCCUCUGCAUCCUCAUCACAUUCUUCUUGUGUAAUUCCUUGAUAUCCUGAAUUCGAAUGUUUCAACGACGGAUUUGCUUGAGGCCAGGACAUCAGUUCACCAUACCCCUCCUGACUCAUGA